GCGCGGUUGGCGCAGUGGUCAAACGCAUCACACGGCUUGAGACUGUGUGAAGACCCGGGUUCGAAUCCCGGACCGUGCA
rnacentral:tRNA from 1 species